UAACCUACCUCAUAUGGGGGAGUAACAGUCGGAAACGACUGCUAAUACCGCAUAGGACAUGGAAUCACAUGAUUCUGUGAGGAAAGGUGGCGCAAGCUAUCGCUAAGAGAUGGACCCGCGGUGCAUUAGCUAGUUGGUAGGGUAACGGCCUACCAAGGCAAUGAUGCAUAGCCGACCUGAGAGGGUGAUCGGCCACAUUGGGACUGAGACACGGCCCAA
rnacentral:rRNA from 1 species